ensembl:lncRNA
CGGCUGCUGGCUGAGGUGUCCCAGGACCUGACAGCAGCCCAGGGCGUGCCGGACAGCGUGAGGACGGCAGCCAGCAAUGUCCUGGUGGCUCUGGCCAGAACACACUUCACCUUGGUGAUGGCCGAGCUCCAGGGCCACCUGAAGGCCGUGGGGGAGAUGUCGAAGGAGUUUGUGCUCGUCACCCUGAGCAAGCUGUUCAGCAGCUACGCUCCACAGUGCAUCUCCUUUGUGUGGCUGAUGCUGGCUGGCCUGCGCAGUGUGGUGGGCUGGGUGAGAGGCGGCCGGACCCUGCGCAUUGCUUGUGCUGUUGUGAAGCAAUGGCUGGAAGGAGUCAAGGUUCACUUGGGCUCUGGAAAGCAAUGCCCCUGGCCUGCCACAGAGAUCGAGC